AUUGAACGCUGGCGGCAUGCCUUACACAUGCAAGUCGAACGGCAGCACGGGAGCAAUCCUGGUGGCGAGUGGCGAACGGGUGAGUAAUAUAUCGGAACGUGCCCAGUCGUGGGGAUAACGUAGCGAAAGCUACGCUAAUACCGCAUACGAUCUAUGGAUGAAAGCGGGGGAUCGCAAGACCUCGCGCGAUUGGAGCGGCCGAUAUCAGAUUAGGUAGUUGGUGAGGUAAAGGCUCACCAAGCCGACGAUCUGUAGCUGGUCUGAGAGGACGACCAGCCACACUGGGACUGAGACACGGCCCAGACUCCUACGGGAGGCAGCAGUGGGGAAUUUUUGGACAAUGGCGCAAGCCUGAUCCAGCAAUGCCGCGUGCAGGAUGAAGGCCUCGGUU
rnacentral:rRNA from 1 species